rnacentral:rRNA from 1 species
GGGGAAUAUUGCACAAUGGGCGCAAGCCUGAUGCAGCGACGCCGCGUGCGGGAUGACGGCCUUCGGGUUGUAAACCGCUUUUGAUCGGGAGCAAGCCUUCGGGUGAGUGUACCUUUCGAAUAAGCACCGGCUAACUACGUGCCAGCAGCCGCGGUAAUACGUAGGGUGCAAGCGUUAUCCGGAAUUAUUGGGCGUAAAGGGCUCGUAGGCGGUUCGUCGCGUCCGGUGUGAAAGUCCAUCGCUUAACGGUGGAUCUGCGCCGGGUACGGGCGGGCUGGAGUGCGGUAGGGGAGACUGGAAUUCCCGGUGUAACGGUGGAAUGUGUAGAUAUCGGGAAGAACACCAAUGGCGAAGGCAGGUCUCUGGGCCGUUACUGACGCUGAGGAGCGAAAGCGUGGGGAGCGAACAGGAUUAGAUACCCUGGUAGUCCACGCCGUAAACGGUGGAUGCUGGAUGUGGGGCCCGUUCCACGGGUUCCGUGUCGGAGCUAACGCGUUAAGCAUCCCGCCUGGGGAGUACGGCCGCAAGGCUAAAACUCAAAGAAAUUGACGGGGGCCCGCACAAGCGGCGGAGCACGCGGAUUAAUUCGAUGCAACGCGAAGAACCUUACCUGGGCUUGACAUGUUCCCGACAGCCGUAGAGAUAUGGCCUCCCUUCGGGGCGGGUUCACAGGUGGUGCAUGGUCGUCGUCAGCUCGUGUCGUGAGAUGUUGGGUUAAGUCCCGCAACGAGCGCAACCCUCGCCCUGUGUUGCCAGCACGUCAUGGUGGGAACUCACGGGGGACCGCCGGGGUCAACUCGGAGGAAGGUGGGGAUGACGUCAGAUCAUCAUGCCCCUUACGUCCAGGGCUUCACGCAUGCUACAAUGGCCGGUACAACGGGAUGCGACACGGCGACGUGGAGCGGAUCCCUGAAAACCGGUCUCAGUUCGGAUUGGAGUCUGCAACCCGACUCCAUGAAGGCGGAGUCGCUAGUAAUCGCGGAUCAGCAACGCCGCGGUGAAUGCGUUCCCG